rnacentral:ncRNA from 2 species
AUUGCAUAGGAUUGAACAGGUGUUGCUAUAUGCGACUUAAUAGAGAAACCGGUUAAAGGCCGGUGCGGUCCCGCCACUGUAAUGGGGAGCAAAGCCACGAUGCGCCACUGAGACGAACUGUCUUGGGAAGGUAUGGCAGAGCGAUGACCCAGAGCCAGGAGAACUGCCUGCAUAACAAUCACCAU